AAUUUUUGAACUUGAAUUUAAGCCGUAUUCAAAAUAAAAAUAUAUCAAUAAAAAGUAGUAGUUGGACUCAGUAUGAUGUUACUUUAAACAGCAAUCAGUAUCAAGGUUCUUCAGCAUUUUUAGUAUCGUUAAUAUACAGUGGAGAGAGCUCAAUAUAUUUGGACUCUAUUACUAUAGCAAUUGAUGGAAAAAUUAUAUCUUGUCCAACGAUAACCUCUUCAAAUCAUUGUGGAUUUGAUACAGCUGGUGUUGGAAGCUCAGGAUGGUCUUU
rnacentral:lncRNA from 1 species